rnacentral:rRNA from 1 species
AGAGUUUGAUCCUGGCUCAGAGCGAACGCUGGCGGCACGCCUAACACAUGCAAGUCGAGCGAGAAAGUGACUUCGGUCGCGAGUAAAGCGGCGAACGGGUGAGUACAACGUGGAUAAUCUACCCUAAGGUCUGGGACAACCCCGAGAAAUCGGGGCUAAUACCGGAUAAGACCACAGUAUCCAAGGAUACAGCGGUAAAAGAUUUAUCGCCUUUGGAUGAGUCCACGCCCCAUCAGGUAGUUGGUAAGGUAAAGGCUUACCAAGCCUAAGACGGGUAGCCGGCCUUAGCGGGUGAACGGCCACAUGGGGACUGAGACACGGCCCUGACUCCUACGGGAGGCAGCAGUGGGGAAUAUUGGGCAAUGGGCGAAAGCCUGACCCAGCGAUGCCGCGUGAGGGAUGAAGGCCUUCGGGUUGUAAACCUCUGUCAGGAGGGACGAUGGGACUUUGUCUUGACGGUACCUCCAGAGGAAGCCCCGGCUAACUCCGUGCCAGCAGCCGCGGUAAUACGGAGGGGGCAAGCGUUGCUCGGAAUUACUGGGCGUAAAGGGUCCGCAGGCUGUCAGGCAAGUUGGUUGUGAAAGCUCAAGGCUUAACCUUGGAAUUGCAUCCAAAACUGCCUGACUAGAGUCCAAGAGAGGUUGGCGGAAUUCCCGGUGUACGGUGAAAUGCAUA